rnacentral:rRNA from 1 species
AGCGAACGCUGGCGGCAGGCUUAACACAUGCAAGUCGAGCGGGCACUUUCGGGUGUCAGCGGCGGACGGGUGCGUAACGCGUGGGAACGUGCCCUCUGGUUCGGAAUAACUCAGGGAAACUUGAGCUAAUACCGGAUACGCCCUUUUGGGGAAAGGCUUGCUGCCGGAGGAUCGGCCCGCGUCUGAUUAGCUAGUUGGUGAGGUAACGGCUCACCAAGGCGACGAUCAGUAGCUGGUCUGAGAGGAUGAUCAGCCACACUGGGACUGAGACACGGCCCAGACUCCUACGGGAGGCAGCAGUGGGGAAUAUUGGACAAUGGGCGCAAGCCUGAUCCAGCCAUGCCGCGUGAGUGAUGAAGGCCUUAGGGUUGUAAAGCUCUUUUAUCCGGGACGAUAAUGACGGAACCGGAGGAAUAAGCCCCGGCUAACUUCGUG